GCGGAAGUGGCGGAAUGGCAUACGCGCAUGUCUCAGAAGCAUGUGGAGAAAUCCUUGAGGGUUCAACUCCAUCCUUCCGCA
rnacentral:tRNA from 1 species